rnacentral:rRNA from 1 species
GACGAACCGAGCGAACGUUGUUCGGAAUCACUGGGCUUAAAGGGCGCGUAGGCGGGUGCUCAAGUCCGGGGUGAAAUCCCACAGCUCAACUGUGGAACUGCCUCGGAUACUGGGUGUCUCGAGGGUGGCAGGGGUAUGCGGAACUAUCGGUGGAGCGGUGAAAUGCGUUGAUAUCGAUAGGAACUCCGGUGGCGAAGGCGGCAUACUGGUCCACUUCUGACGCUGAGGCGCGAAAGCCAGGGGAGCAAACGGGG